UACGUAGGGUGCAAGCGUUAUCCGGAAUUAUUGGGCGUAAAGAGCUCGUAGGCGGUUUGUCGCGUCUGCUGUGAAAACUGGGGGCUCAACCCCCAGCCUGCAGUGGGUACGGGCAGACUAGAGUGCGGUAGGGGAGAUUGGAAUUCCUGGUGUAGCGGUGGAAUGCGCAGAUAUCAGGAGGAACACCGAUGGCGAAGGCAGUUCUCUGGGCCGUAACUGACGCUGAGGAGCGAAAGCGUGGGGAGCGAACAGG
rnacentral:rRNA from 1 species